UACGGAGGGUGCAAGCGUUAUCCGGAUUCACUGGGUUUAAAGGGUGCGUAGGAGGGCAGGUAAGUCAGUGGUGAAAUCUCCAAGCUUAACUUGGAACUGCCGUUGAUACUAUCUGCCUUGAAUACCGUGGAGGUGAGCGGAAUAUGUCAUGUAGCGGUGAAAUGCUUAGAUAUGACAUAGAACACCAAUUGCGAAGGCAGCUCGCUACACGAAUAUUGACUCUGAGGCACGAAAGCGUGGGGAUCAAACAGG
rnacentral:rRNA from 1 species